CGUGGACCGGUGGGGUCCCUCGGCCUGGCCUGCGCCCUCUCACAAUCCGGAUGUUGGACUACCAGUUUUGGCCCGAUCCCCGCAGGCCAGGCCGAGGGACCCCACGGGUGCACG
rnacentral:pre_miRNA from 1 species